UUUUCGGCAACCUGGAUACCAUCUUCGACACUGGGACAAAUCCCGGGAUGGAGUCCAGGGUUUCCCGCGGCUUCGGCGCUUCCUGACCUGGCGUGACUGCCGACUUGUCGGCACCACCCAGGCCUCAGGCUCCCUGUCUGUAGUGGUGAAUCGACCUUCCUCAUGGCAGUCCAGGCUCCCCAAGCCCCAUGUCCUGGUGAUCCGGGGUAAACUCUUCCUUGAACAUUCUUCACUACGAGCCGCUGCUGAUCUGUACUGCCUGGAGGAGCAUUUCCAUAGCGCCCGCAAAAAUACAAUAAAGCUCACCCAAGGAAAUAACCAUGGAUUCUCACGCCUGGGUGCCAGUGUUUGGAAUCGACUGGGCUUUUUUAUGUUAGUAGGCAAUUUAAAACAAUUACUUAUUUGAAAUCAGAAGCGCAAUAGGCACAACUUCAGCUCAAGAUCCCAGAGGAAGAGGAGCCAUCUUUCCCAGUGGCUUUAGCAGAAAAGUCCCUGAGCCAGUCACUGUGCCCACUGGAAGACAAAUGGAGACUCGCCAAGCUUUGGUCAUGAACUCACUGGGACUGCAGGAGACUGGGUCAGCCCCACCAAAAUAAUGCAAAAGCAGAGCCUCACUGUGUCACGGAGGCCAGAGUGCAGUGGCGGAAUCUAGACUUACCACAACCUCCACCUCCCAAGUUCAAGCAGUUUUCCUGCCUCAGCCUCCCAAAUAGCUGGGAUUACAGGUACGCACCACCAUACUUGGCUAAGUUUUGUAUUUUUUGUAGAGACAGGGUUUUGCCAUGUUGCCCAGGCUGAUCUCGAACUCCUGACCUCAAGUGAUCUACCCAC